rnacentral:rRNA from 1 species
AUGAACGCUGGCGGCGUGCCUCAUACAUGCAAGUCGAGCGAACGGACGAGAAGCUUGCUUCUCUGAUGUUAGCGGCGGACGGGUGAGUAACACGUGGAUAACCUACCUAUAAGACUGGGAUAACUUCGGGAAACCGGAGCUAAUACCGGAUAAUAUUUUGAACCGCAUGGUUCAAAAGUGAAAGACGGUCUUGCUGUCACUUAUAGAUGGAUCAGCGCUGCAUUAGCUAGUUGGUAAGGUAACGGCUUACCAAGGCAACGAUGCAUAGCCGACCUGAGAGGGUGAUCGGCCACACUGGAACUGAGACACGGUCCAGACUCCUACGGGAGGCAGCAGUAGGGAAUCUUCCGCAAUGGGCGAAAGCCUGACGGAGCAACGCCGCGUGAGUGAUGAAGGUCUUCGGAUCGUAAAACUCUGUUAUUAGGGAAGAACAUAUGUGUAAGUAACUGUGCACAUCUUGACGGUACCUAAUCAGAAAGCCACGGCUAACUACGUG